UACGGAGGGUGCAAGCGUUAUCCGGAUUCACUGGGUUUAAAGGGUGCGUAGGUGGGUCUGAAAGUCAGUGGUGCAAUCUCCGGGCUUAACCUGGAAACUGCCAUUGAUACUUCAGGUCUUGAAUUUUCUGGAGGUAAGCGGAAUAUGUCAUGUAGCGGCGAAAUGCUUAGAUAUGACAUAGAACACCAAUGGCGAAGGCAGCUUACUACGGGAGUAUUGACACUGAGGCACGAAAGCGUGGGGAGCAAACAGG
rnacentral:rRNA from 1 species